rnacentral:rRNA from 1 species
UACAGAGGUCUCAAGCGUUGUUCGGAUUCAUUGGGCGUAAAGGGUGCGUAGGCGGCGCGGUAAGUCGGGUGUGAAAUCUCGGAGCUUAACUCCGAAACUGCAUUCGAUACUGCAGUGCUUGAGGACUGGAGAGGAGACUGGAAUUUACGGUGUAGCAGUGAAAUGCGUAGAGAUCGUAAGGAAGACCAGUGGCGAAGGCGGGUCUCUGGACAGUUCCUGACACUGAGGCACGAAGGCCAGGGGAGCAAACGGG